GGGGGUUUAGCUCAGCGGUAGAGCGCUCGCUUUGCAUGCGAGAAGUCCAUGUUUCGAACCCCUC
rnacentral:tRNA from 1 species